rnacentral:lncRNA from 1 species
CUGGGAUAGAGCAGUGCCACCAAGUCUAUCCUGCAGACUCUGGCAGAGCAAUGGAUGAAUGAAGUAUGCUGACACAGAUCACCCCAGGUAACUGUCUCUCCACAUCAAUCUAUUGAUUCUCACUGCAUGGAGUGAAGAAGAAACCACCAGAUCAGAUACUUGUUGAGAAUAGAUAAUGAAUAAAGCUGCAAAAUAAAAAUGAACAGCCCAGACUGGGGUUGAGUUGUUAGUUAGCUAACAUCCCGAGAAACUGUUUCACCUGUGAAAGCCUGUAUUAAGACAGAGCAGCUCUAAAACUCAAUUUAGGAUGCAAGUUACCAUCGCUUCAAGAGUUAUAAGAAGAUUUUCUGAAUAUAACAGUCUGAAUCAUAGGGGUCAUUGUAUGGUGAUCCCUUAUUUUUUGACUGAAUUGCUUAAACAAUUAUUAAUAAAAGGGAUGAGUAUCUUUGAAUUAUAAGGAGUCAUCCAGCUACUGACCUGCUCAGAGUUUGUAGAAACACACUAUCCAGGUCUCUUUAGAUUAUUGUGCCGUGGAUCUAAUCUGCUCCAUUA